CACCGCCGCGGGAAUACGGAGGGUGCAAGCGUUAUCCGGAUUUAUUGGGUUUAAAGGGUCCGUAGGCGGAUCUGUAAGUCAGUGGUGAAAUCUCACAGCUUAACUGUGAAACUGCCAUUGAUACUGCAGGUCUUGAGUAAAUUUGAAGUGGCUGGAAUAAGUAGUGUAGCGGUGAAAUGCAUAGAUAUUACUUAGAACACCAAUUGCGAAGGCAGGUCACUAAGAUUUAACUGACGCUGAUGGACGAAAGCGUGGGGAGCGAACAGGAUUAGAUACCCCUGUAGUCCCUGUCUCUUAUACA
rnacentral:rRNA from 1 species